rnacentral:rRNA from 1 species
GACGAGGGAUCCUAGCGUUGUUCGGAAUUAUUGGGCGUAAAGCGGAUGUAGGUGGCUAUGUAAGUCAGAUGUGAAAGCCUGGGGCUCAACCCCAGAAGUGCAUUUGAUACUGCGUAGCUUGAGUGUCGGAGAGGUUACUAGAAUUGUUGGUGUAGUGGUGAAAUACGUAGAUAUCAACAGGAAUACCGGAGGCGAAGGCGGGUAACUGGCCGAACACUGACACUGAGAUCCGAAAGCGUGGGGAUCAAACAGG